rnacentral:rRNA from 1 species
CAAGUCGAGGGCGAUCGGGAGUAGCAUACUUGCCGGCGACCGGCGCAAGGGUGCGUAACGCGUGAGCAACAUGCCCGUAUACAGGGGGAGUAAUCCAUGGAAAACGUGGUCUAAUACCCCAUAGUAAUUAUGUAAGGCAUCUUAUAUAAUUUAAAGCUUUGGUGGAUACGGAUUGGCUCGCGUGACAUUAGCUGGAUGGUAAGGUAACGGCUUACCAUGGCUACGAUGUCUAGGGGUUCUGAGAGGAAGGUCCCCCACACUGGAACUGAGACACGGUCCAGACUCCUACGGGAGGCAGCAGUGAGGAAUAUUGGACAAUGGAUGGAAAUCUGAUCCAGCCAUGCCGCGUGCAGGAAGACGGCCCUAUGGGUUGUAAACUGCUUUUGUAUGGGAGCAAUAAGGGCUACGUGUAGUCCGAUGAGAGUACCAUACGAAUAAGCACCGGCUAACUCCGUGCCAGCCGCAGC